AGCCACUUGUCAUUAACCCGUAGAUCCGAUCUUGUGAUAAGUUUAAUGGCACCACCGUAGAUCCGAUCUUGUGAUAAGUUUAAUGGCACAAGCUCGUUCUAUGGGUCUCUGUCUCUGUGGUAGAAAAUC
rnacentral:pre_miRNA from 1 species